rnacentral:rRNA from 1 species
CCUACGGGAGGCAGCAGUCGAGAAUCAUUCACAAUAGGGGAAACCCUGAUGGUGCGACGCCGCGUGGGGGAAUGAAGGUCUUCGGAUUGUAAACCCCUGUCAUGUGGGAGCAAAUUAAAAAGAUAGUACCACAAGAGGAAGAGACGGCUAACUCUGUGCCAGCAGCCGCGGUAAUACAGAGGUCUCAAGCGUUGUUCGGAAUCACUGGGCGUAAGGCGUGCGUAGGCUGUUUCGUAAGUCGUGUGUGAAAGGCGCGGGCUCAACCCGCGGACGGCACAUGAUACUGCGAGACUAGAGUAAUGGAGGGGGAACCGGAAUUCUCGGUGUAGCAGUGAAAUGCGUAGAUAUCGAGAGGAACACUCGUGGCGAAGGCGGGUUCCUGGACAUUAACUGACGCUGAGGCACGAAGGCCAGGGGAGCGAAAGGGAUUAGAUACCCGAGUAGUC